UAUUGGUUUUGCAUCGUCGGAUAUGAGAUCGAUGAAUUUAUUAUAUCUGAGAUACUGUUAUUUGAUUUUGAGCAUAAGUAUGUUAUAUCAAUAUAUAUGUAUCAGAGAUUGAUGGCAUGAUUAUAUGGAUAUGACAUAUCUAAAUUGAUCAUAAUGCAAGUCGGAAUUGAUUUGAUGAAAUCAACACAUAAUGAUUAAAUGAAAAGAAAGAGAUAUAUGGUAUGGACUAGCCUUGUCAUGUGGAACAGCCGGUC
rnacentral:lncRNA from 1 species